GAGCUGGACCUGAGUAACAAUGACCUGCAGGAUUCAGGAGUGAAGCUGCUCUCUCAUGGACUGAAGAUUCCAAACUGUCAACUGCACACAUUGAGGUUGUCUGGAUGUAUGGUGACAGAAGAAGGCUGUGGUUAUGUGUCUUCAGCUCUGAGUUCAAACCCCUCACACCUGAGAGAACUGGAUCUGAGCUACAAUCACCCCAGAGAUUCAGGAGUCAAGCUGCUCUCUGAAAAACUGGAGGAUCCAAAGUGCUCACUGGACAAACUCAAUGUGGAUCAUGGAGGAGAAUCCAGGAUUACAGCAGGACUAAAGAAAUGUACGUCUACACACACACACACACACACACACACCCACACACACAGAGACACACA